rnacentral:lncRNA from 1 species
GGAGAUUCGCCAGCCAGACUCAGAGGAAGUCGGGCAUACAGUACUGAGGAGGUAACGAGUCAUUUGGCAGAGUGUAGAUUAAUAUAAGUGGGUUAAUUUAAGUUUUAAGAGCUAGUUGGGAACAACCAUAAGCUAAGGUCAGGUUUCACAAUUAAUAAAAAGCCUUCAUGUCAUUAUUCAGAAACUGGCAGUCCAAAGAAAGACCUACUACAUUAAAGUUUCACAGAGAAACUCUGUCUUGAAAAAAACAAAUAAACAUAUAUGUAUAUAAUAUAUUUAUGUAUAUUGAUAUAAAUAUAUAUAAUAUAAGUAUGUUUAUAUUAUAUACAUUAAAGAUAGAUCCAUAAUCGUUCCCUAGUCUGAAAUGGAGAGAAAAAGGUCACUCUUAAGGCUGAGCUUGCACCUGAUCAGAAUUCACCAGUUGAUGGGGAAUGUACUGUGUAUGUUUAUUUUAUUGAUUAUUGAAUAAAGUACUUGUUUAGCCAAUGAAACAGCAAGUUAGGCAGGACUAGGAGUCAAAGAGGGUUCUGGGAAAUGUAGUAGAGAAGUGGUGUUCUAGGCAGGAAGUGACAUAGCAAGGAGAAACAGGAAAUGUCCCGCUUUCCCCUUCACCUCCUCCAGCGGCAGGAUGUGAGCUACUGGCAAGGAGGGACGCCAAUAAGGCGUCCGAUAAGAUAAGUCUUAUAAAAUAUAUAGAUUUAUGAUAAUUAAGUCUGAGCUAACAGAUGAGAAUCCUAGUCAUUGGCCAAGCAGCUUUGAACCUAAUAUAAGUCUCUCUGUGUAUUAAUUUGGGCCCUAACUCGGGCAGGCGGCUAGCGUAAAGUGCACACAUGGCAGUGGGGCUCAGCGGCUCUUGGUGGAAAGAUUUAUCGUAACAACCAGUUGUUGAAGAUGUUGUACCUGGAUCUCUGGAUGGCCUGAACCCACGCCUUCUCUCUUCUCCAGGGUCUCCGGAUGUGUGCUGUUUUCUACCUUCCCUGUUCUGCUUUGUCACCCUUAUUGGAGGAAAUCAGAGCUGUGUGACAUCAGCCUGCCUGGGCAAUGGGCUGUUUUUCUUUGUGCUCAGGUUGAGUUGUUCCAACUUCAACCUUGACGCUAAAGAGCCACAGCAAUGUGAUAGCCACAAUGGAUUCUGGGAACAACAGGACCUGGAUAACAUCUUUCUAACAGGACCAUUGGUUCCCCCAAUAAGGGUGAUUUCCCCUCAAUAUGAAGCCCCUGGAACAGGAGCAAUCAUACAGUGGCCACCAAAUUGCUUCCUUCAAGUCAUCAUGAGACAAGGUCUCCACAGCCCCUGCAGAACUGAGCAGAGAUAAUGGCCAGUUGGACCAGCAACCUGAACAGACCCUCGGCUCUGCCAACUGUGCACACCAUAGUCCCCUUCUUUGUUUACUUUUUCUGUGAAAUUUCAAAGUUCAUGCCAGUCCUUUGAAAAUGAACUUGGGGGUCACUGACCCAGUGCCAUCUUGACUUAAAUCUCCUUUCUCUGCCCUUCAUGGAUUUUUGUCUCUUUGAUUGACACACUGGGAAAGGAAGCCAUGCCCAAUUCACUGGGGCUCCCAAACUGAUUUUUUUUUUUGAGACAACCUCUCACUAUGUAGUCUUAGCUGUCCUGGAGCUUGUUAUGUAUACCAGGCUGGCCUUGAUCUCACAGACAACACUCUGCCUUUGCCUCCAAGUGCUGGGAUUAAAGGCAUAUAUGUCAAUGCCUGGCUAGAGCUGAGGCUUUUGCCCUAAACUCCAGGGUCAGUAAGAGAAAAGCAUGAGAUCCAGACAUAGAAAUCUACAUAAGGGAAAAACUGAAGCAUGCUUACACAGGAUGGUGGGAACAAUCCUCCCCAAGUGUGCACAAGGUCAAGGAGCAUCACCGUGGCUGGCACUAAACAAUAAUGAAGCCUACUGAAGUCCAUCUGGCCUCUGCUAUUGACUUCUGCCAGGUAUAUAAGAAGAACACUCAUGCUUUGUUUCUUUACUGGAAUCUGGAAACACUUUCAGUCAUCUAUGACACUGUCAUGAAACCAGCAACUGGCUCGGUACAGACUUAUUCUAAAUUCCAUUUUUAAAAAAAAUAUUGAAGUAGCCAGGCAGUGGUGGCACAUGCCUUUAAUCCCAGCACUUGGGAGGCAGAUGCAGGUGAAUCUCUGUGAGUUCGAGGCCAGCCUGGUUUUCAAAGAGAGCUCUGGGACAACCUCCAAACUUACAGAGAAACCAUGUCUCGAAAAAGAAAGAAAAAAGAAAAGAAAAGAAAGAAAAAAAUCUUGAAGUGGAGCACCCACACCAGAAAAACAAUAUUAUGAGGAAGGCAUACUUUUUUAUGGUGAGAAUUAGUUUUUUCUUUUUUAAUUUAAAUUAGAAACAAACUUGCUUUACAUGUCAAUCCCAGUUCCCUCUCCCUCCCCUCCCCCCCACUAGUUCCCUAUCCCAUCUGCUUUCUGCUCUCCAGGGAGGGUGAGGCCUUCCAUGGGGAUCUUCAAUGUCUGUCAUAUCAUUUAGAGCAGGGCCUAGGCCCUCCCUCGAGGAAGGCAUAUUUUUAAAACAAUAAAUGAAUCUACUUUGAAAUGUAUCUUCA